rnacentral:tRNA from 1 species
UGGGGUAUAGCUCAAUGAUGGUAGAGCACUUGCCUUGAAUGUGCAAGGCCCUGGAUUCAAUCCCCAGCACCACAA